rnacentral:tRNA from 1 species
GAGGGUAUAGAUCAGUGGUAGAGUGCAUGCCUAGCAUGCACAAGGUCCUGGGUUCAAUCCCUAGUAUCUCCA